rnacentral:rRNA from 1 species
CUACGGGUUGCUGCAGUGGGGAAUAUUGGACAAUGGGGGAAACCCUGAUCCAGCAAUGCCGCGUGUGUGAAGAAGGCCUGCGGGUUGUAAAGCACUUUCGGUUGGGAGGACUGCUUCUAGCACUAAUAUUGUUCGAAGUUGACGUUACCUUCAGAAGAAGCACCGGCUAACUCCGUGCCAGCAGCCGCGGUAAUACGGAGGGUGCAAGCGUUAAUCGGAAUUACUGGGCGUAAAGCGCGCGUAGGCGGCUAGAUCAGUCGGGUGUGAAAGCCCCGGGCUUAACCUGGGAACUGCAUCCGAUACUGUCUAGCUUGAGUACAGGAGAGGAGAGUGGAAUUCCACAUGUAGCGGUGAAAUGCGUAGAUAUGUGGAGGAACACCAAUGGCGAAGGCAGCUCUCUGGCCUGAUACUGACGCUGUGGUGCGAAAGCGUGGGGAGCAAACAGGAUUAGAUACCCGAGUAGUC